CACGGGAGGCAGCAGUGGGGAAUAUUGGACAAUGGGCGAAAGCCUGAUCCAGCAAUGCCGCGUGAGUGAUGAAGGCCUUAGGGUUGUAAAGCUCUUUUACCAGGGAUGAUAAUGACAGUACCUGGAGAAUAAGCUCCGGCUAACUCCGUGCCAGCAGCCGCGGUAAUACGGAGGGAGCUAGCGUUGUUCGGAAUUACUGGGCGUAAAGCGUGCGUAGGCGGUGACUCAAGUCAGAGGUGAAAGCCUGGAGCUCAACUCCAGAACUGCCUUUGAAACUAGGUCGCUAGAAUCAUGGAGAGGUGAGUGGAAUUCCGAGUGUAGAGGUGAAAUUCGUAGAUAUUCGGAAGAACACCAGUGGCGAAGGCGGCUCACUGGACAUGUAUUGACGCUGAGGCACGAAAGCGUGGGGAGCAAACAGGAUUAGAUACCCUGGUAGUCCACGCCGUAAACGAUGAUAACUAGCUGCCAGGGCUCAUGAGCUUGGUGGCGCNGCUACGACAUUAAGUUAUCCGCCGUCGGGUAGGUACGGUCGCGAAGAAGUUAAACGUAACAAGUAGUAAGUUAGUACGGCGUGAGACGUAGACCGACGGACGACGACGAGGGAGGAGG
rnacentral:rRNA from 1 species